UUUUGUAUAUUAACUUUGGUUUAUACCCUAGAUAUUUUGAGUGUUAUGUUGAGAGUCAGUCCUGUUAAAAUUCUCAAAGAUUUGCUGUGCUGAUUUUAGUUGGUCUCACGCAGGUGCAACUUGGAGAUGAGCCCUGGACUUCACACACAUAGGUAAAGGACCCUUCCUCAGGUGUCUCCUUUCUGUGAUUUCCACCCCAAGGUUCUCUGGCUAGAAAACCAGGGUUUAGCCUCUGUACUGCUGUGUGCUCCUGUGACUGGGACCCCUCAGGGCAGAGUGGUGAGAGAAAGAGGCCUGUGGGAUCACCACAAGCACACCUGUCACUGUUGUUACGGCUGUGGAGGGGCUGUAGCUUCACUACUGGAUCUCUGCUGGGAUGCUGUCUGGAGAGGUAAAAGGCUCUGACUCUCAGUGCUUCUAUGGGUGGAAGUGGGUGGCUUUUUGCUGGUGCUCACCCAAAAAGGUCUGGAAAGAUUAAAAGAGCUCUGCCCUAAAGAUGCUAUUGCCCCAGUCACCAGGACAAGAGGUUCCAAUUUGCUGCUGGCACUUGUCUGGUGCAGGGAUGAGAAAAUCUAAAGUGCUCCACCCUGCAGGGACUUUUUUAUACAGGGGCCUGCUGCUUAGCUGCUGGUGCUCACAUGCAGUAGGGCUAGGACCAUCCAACAGACUUGUCCUAAGUGCUGGUGCUGGCCCUGGUGUCUGGGGUGAGGGUUGGGGGAACAGGAGGAACAGGACUGGAGCGUCACAGAGCUUGGGCCUUCAGGGGUUGUUGGUGCCAUGUUGGCAGGGCAAGGAAGUCUUAAGAGUCCUGAUGUCUCUAUCCAGCCCCUCAACUCUUAUCCAUCUUUUAAAAUUCUCUGACAUUCACUUCAUGCAUUUGAAUUUUAUCAGUGGGAGAGAUAGGGUGGUGUGUGUUUACUCCAUUUUGGUCAGAAAUGCAAGUCCCCCCCCCCCCUUUUUUUUUGCAAGUCCCUUUUUACAUAAUUUUAGAAAAGUAGGAUUGCAAGGUGACUUCCCCUAUAAUUUUUAGGCCUUUCAGUAUUUUCCAUAUUAAAAUCUUUUUUGAUGACUCUGAGAUCUCUAGCUUAUCUGGAUAGAUGGGGGAACUGAGAAGGAAAAUGAUCUGAGGUUGGGGAGGUGUGGAUAAACUGAGUUAUGAAUGUUGAGAUGUCAAGUUAGGGAUGCCCAAAGAUGGCUCUUGUGGCUGAGGGAUUCAAAGGAAGAGAGAACUUGGGGACAGGUAGAAAUGGAGAGGCUGGUGCACUGGGAAGCAACCAAGGAUGAGAAAAUAUAGGCGGUUUAAGGAUCACAGGAAAGGUGAGAAACAGAGGCCCAGGGUGUUGACCACCCUAGCCCAGGAAGGGACUUUGAAGGGGAGUAUAGGCCAAAAAGCAAGGCAUGUGUGAACAGAGUUGGUUUUCUUUAAGAAUUCAAGAUCUAUGAACACAGUUGACCUUUGAACAACACAGGUGUGAAGUGCUAGGGUCCAUUUAUAUGUGAAUUUUUUUAGAUAAAUACAGUAUAGUACUGUAAAAAUACUUUCUCUUAUGAUUUUCUUAAUAAUAUUUUCCCCUAGAUUACUUGAUAGUGAGAAUACAGCAUAUAAUAUACAUAAUAUACAAAUUAUAUGUUAAUCAACUAUUCAUGUUAUAGAUAAAGGAUCAAGAGUAGGCUAUCAGUAGUUACAUUUUUGGGAUUAUACGUGGAUUUUUUGACUGCACAGGGGGCCAGUGCCCUUAACCCCUACACUAUUCAAUGAUGAACUGUAUAUUUUUUAGCGUGAUACCAAAAAAGACCCCCUACUCAAAUGAACUUGAAUAUACCUAAAAUAACUAUCAUUAGAGUAGGUGACAGUGGCUUGGAGUUCCUUUCCUCCAGAAAACACCUCUGACACCCAAAGACAAGAUGGGCAUCUAUCUAUACUCCCCUGUGGCAUUCAGCUGCCACCUGCCUCUUCAGCCCGGUAAGCUCCUUGAGGGCGAGGUCCUCACACUUUUCCUGACUGCUCUUUUGGGGCCAGCACAGUGCUAGGUGAAUGGCAGAAAUCCAUGAAAUAGUUGUUGCAAGAAUGAACGCACAAAUGAGUACUAGAGUUUAGAGAAAGAGGUUCAGGGACCUGGGUGUGCCACUGUAUCACCAGCCCAGUCUGGACAUGAUGAGGUUGGACUGGAGGCUAAGGCUCAUUACUAAAUGAGGCCCCUAGGUGAUGAUGGCAAUUUGUCCAUCUAUUCUCCAAAAGAGCCCACAUGGGAUCACAACAACAUGAAAUCUAAAUUACACACACCAUAGAGAAAGAAGAAUGACCAGAGGGAAAGGCCAACAGAGACAACAUCUAGAAAGUGGACUCCUAAGUGGUCUUUUUUUCUAUAUACUUUCUGUAUUUUAUCAUUUUUCCACACUUAAGAAUCUCUAAUUCUUUUGCCUAACUCAUCCUGUGCUCCUGAAGGUGCUUUCCAACCUGCCAUUUUGGCUCUGACAUGGAGUGGCCUACCAGGAGGAGGAUGGGUAAGGUCCUGCACAAAUGAACAAGGCUGGUAACCCUGGACUAUUCGCCUCCCCUCAAUGGUCUCCUAUGCAUUGGUGAGCAAACACGGUACUGGGCUCGCAGUAACCACCCCAACGUGGCCCUGUGAGGUCCAGCCCACUUGCAAAGCUGGGCUCCUCUGCAUCGACUGGGGAAUCCUCCCUGCCUGCCCCACUGAAGGGUCUUUCAUACCUUCAGAGAAGGAAAACAAGACGGAGUGUAGACAAGAGGAGGAAGGAUAAGCGGGAGAGCUGGGGACAAAGCGCUUGAGUCCCUAAGGUAGAAGAACUGUGUACCCAUCUGGGACACCUCAGUAAUCUAACUCCCUGGUGUGUGCCCCUGGAAGAGGUACAGGGGUGGCAGCCCCUACGGGAGCUCUGGGUAAAGUGCCUGCCACCACAAGAUAAUAAACAGCAGUAAUUAGGCUUUCUGGAAAACUGAAUAAUACUGUUAUUAAAACUUUUAUUAUCUGUAUGUUUUAUGUGAAUUUAAUUGCCUCCAGUGGCUAUAUUUUGGGAGCAAUGAGGAUGAUAGAAAUAAUAAGAAUGAAUUAAACCACAAGCAGAUCCAGUGUCUGGGGAAGACAAAGAGGCUGCUUACACUAAUGGCAUCUGAUAGCAUCGACCCUGCCAUUCUGCUCUGGUCUACGAGGCAGCCCCCAGACUCCGAGGUCCCUGGCAGCUGCCACAGCCUGUCCUGAUAUUUGCCCCUCAAAUAGAACCACACUUUGGGAGAGUUGGUUUCCAGCAGAAUGAGGGUAAUUCUUCCCUUCCUCUCUGCACUGAAAUGAAAAUCACUACCUCUGCACUAAAGUAACCUAGAUUCUUUCACCCUGGAGUUCAUCUGGAUUGGUUAUUUCUGUGGCUUAGAGAAUGUUAAUAAAUGGACAAUUCUUUUAUACUAUGCUUUUAAGUAAGGCUGAUGGUAAAUA
rnacentral:lncRNA from 1 species